UACGGAGGGGCCGAGCGUUAUUCGGAAUUAUUGGGCGUAAAGGGCGCGUAGGCGGCUGUACAAGUCAGAGGUGAAAUCCCUCGGCUCAACUGAGGAACUGCCUUUGAAACUGUACGGCUUGAGGCCGGGAGGGGGUAGCGGAAUUCCCAGUGUAGCGGUGAAAUGCGUAGAUACUGGGAGGAACACCAGUGGCGAAGGCGGCUACCUGGACCGGUUCUGACGCUGAGGCGCGAAAGCGUGGGUAGCAAACAGG
rnacentral:rRNA from 1 species